rnacentral:rRNA from 1 species
GACAGAGGUGCCAAGCGUUAGGCGGAAUCACUGGGCUUAAAGCGUGUGUAGGCGGAAUGGUAAGUACCUUGUGAAAUCCCACGGCUCAACCGUGGAACUGCUUGGUAUACUGCUUUUCUUGAGCCACUUAGGGGCAACCGGAACAAACGGUGGAGCGGUGAAAUGCGUAGAUAUCAUCUGGAACGCCAAUGGUGAAAACAGCUCGCUGGGGGUGUGCAGACGCUGAGACACGAAAGCCAGGGGAGCGAACGGG